UUGCUUCAGGCAGCACAUAUACAACAAUUGGAAAUGACACAAAGAAGUAAAGCAUGGCUCCUGUGCAUAGACUGACCUGCCAAUUCAUGAAACAGUCCAUUCUAUU